rnacentral:rRNA from 1 species
UGGGGCCUACGGGAGGCAGCAGUGAGGAAUAUUGGUCAAUGGUCGGGAGACUGAACCAGCCAAGCCGCGUGAGGGAGGAAGGUACAGAGUAUCGUAAACCUCUUUUGUCAGGGAACAAAGACUGGGACGCGUCCCCGGAUGAGUGUACCUGAAGAAAAAGCAUCGGCUAACUCCGUGCCAGCAGCCGCGGUAAUACGGAGGAUGCGAGCGUUAUCCGGAUUUAUUGGGUUUAAAGGGUGCGCAGGCGGUCUGUUAAGUCAGCGGUCAAAGCCCGGGGCUCAACCCCGGCCCGCCGUUGCAACUGG